rnacentral:rRNA from 1 species
AGUCGAGCGAGCGGAACUAAAGAUUUACUUCGGUAAUGACGUUAGGAAAGCGAGCGGCGGAUGGGUGAGUAACACGUGGGGAACCUGCCCCAUAGUCUGGGAUACCACUUGGAAACAGGUGCUAAUACCGGAUAAGAAAGCAGAUCGCAUGAUCAGCUUUUAAAAGGCGGCGUAAGCUGUCGCUAUGGGAUGGCCCCGCGGUGCAUUAGCUAGUUGGUAAGGUAAAGGCUUACCAAGGCGAUGAUGCAUAGCCGAGUUGAGAGACUGAUCGGCCACAUUGGGACUGAGACACGGCCCAAACUCCUACGGGAGGCAGCAGUAGGGAAUCUUCCACAAUGGACGCAAGUCUGAUGGAGCAACGCCGCGUGAGUGAAGAAGGUUUUCGGAUCGUAAAGCUCUGUUGUUGGUGAAGAAGGAUAGAGGUAGUAACUGGCCUUUAUUUGACGGUAAUCAACCAGAAAGUCACGGCUAACUACGUGCCAGCAGCCGCGGUAAUACGUAGGUGGCAAGCGUUGUCCGGAUUUAUUGGGCGUAAAGCGAGCGCAGGCGGAAGAAUAAGUCUGAUGCGAAAGCCCUCGGCUUAACCGAGGAACUGCAUCGGAAACUGUUUUUCUUGAGUGCAGAAGAGGAGAGUGGAACUCCAUGUGUAGCGGUGGAAUGCGUAGAUAUAUGGAAGAACACCAGUGGCGAAGGCGGCUCUCUGGUCUGCAACUGACGCUGAGGCUCGAAAGCAUGGGUAGUGAACAGGAUUAGAUACCCUGGUAGUCCAUGCCGUANACGAUGAGUGCUAAGUGUUGGGAGGUUUCCGCCUCUCAGUGCUGCAGCUAACGCAUU